CGGGACGGGUGGAGUAACGCGUGGGUAACCGUGCCGUAUACAGGGGAGUAACACUUAGAAAUAGGUGCGUAACACCGCAUAAGCGCACGGGAUUGCAUGAUCUUGUGUGAAAAUCUCCGGAGGUAUACGAUGGGCCCGCGUCUGAUUAGCCAGUUGGCAGGGUAACGGCCUACCAAAGCGACGAUCAGUAGCCGGCCUGAGAGGGUGGACGGCCACAUUGGGACUGAGACACGGCCCAAACUCCUACGGGAGGCAGCAG
rnacentral:rRNA from 1 species